AUUUUGCCCCUUUUAUAUUUAAAAAAAGAGCAAAAACUGCCCUCAACAAGGGGCAUUUCCGCAAGCGGGCGCCCAGGGACAACCCACCUAAUUUGGCCACUUAGGCUUGGGCACAUCGCCUAUGCGCUGUAUGGUCCGCUUUUUAAAACAAUGUGACUGAACAUAGAAAUAAUUUGAUUAUGGCUGCAAGCUUUGUCUUUUAGUUCUUUUGUAUCUCAGGUUUUUGAUUCGUGGUGAAGAUUGUAAAUUUUAUAGGCAAUGACAUGAUGCUGUUGCUUUUAAGAGAAUUAUGGGCAUUCUGGAAGUCCUCACAGGCCUUUAAUUGCUUUUUCGCAUAAAAUUAUUUAGUGAAUUUUGCCAGUUUGCUCCCAUAUGCCAAUGAGAUAUUCUAUGUUUUUAUGGGUUUUAUUGUAAACAAUCCCCAGUUUGUUUCACUCUGGAAUUAUUUGUAAAUUUCAUGGUAAAUAAUAUGAUAAGGAAUUAAACUGCCUGAAUGAUAGAAAAAGAGCCCUUAUGUGGGCCAGAGUAUUUUGAGUUUAAUUUUUUUUUUGAUAAAGUUAACAUUGUUAAAUUUUUCUUUUUUUUUUGGAAGCUUUGAGUUUAAAUUUUCCUUUUUUGCUUAAUUGGACCAAAGACUGUUUUGCCGCGUAGCUCCCCCGCCCCUUCACCCCUUCCCUGCAGAAAGGGUCAUAACCACCAAGGAAAAUUUGGUAUAAGUAUGUCAAAUGGAGCACUUCUAUGUUUUUUAGGCAACGUUUCUGUACUAGGGAAAUUCAUAAUGGGUAGUUUGAAUUAUUUGAUCUCUCUUUGAACCUCUAACAAUCUUCAUGCUGUUAGUGCUUAUUGUCUAGUUGUCUCGCGCGUCCUCAUAAGGACUAAACUGAACAGGCUGGUUGGAGUUGGACUGAUAUAGACCAGAAUCAGCUUGUUUUCUGUACUCGCCAAAUUGGUGUAAAUGGUUGAAGUAGGUGCCUGAGGUCCCUAGAUAGUAUUCAGUGUCUUGAUCAAUGUAGCGUUUUUCGAGUUCUGCAAUCCUGAGAGUGUUGCUAAUGUUGUUUUCUCGAAAGUACAAUUCGUUCAUCAAACAAAAUAUGAACUCUAAGUUGUACUCAAAGACUUUAAAUAAACAGAGACAAGGUGGCUGCUAAUGUAAAUAAUGCCUUUGUUUUGUGCAUAUAUAAGCCCAUGUACAUUUUACCCGGUAAACAACACAUCCAAUAACAGAAUAUUGUGAAGGGCACUUUGGUGACCAGUGUACUAUUAUAGAUCACCCAAUGUACACAUGCUGCAACUAGUACCUCUUGAAAUAAAUGCUUACAUACAUAUAGUGCAAGAGCAUUUUACAAAUGAAGAGAAAAGAACAUUUAGUGAUUUAAGAGAUGCUUCUCUUUGGAAUUAUUAAGUGUUACAUUCUUAACUAAAUCUGCGGCCUAUAAAGAAUGCAAUUAUGUUAUCCACCUGCAUAUAGUUGAUUCUAGAUGUUCAACUUUUUCUCUUAAAUUAGUUAUUUUCUUAUUUAUUUAUUUAUUUAUUUUUGUGUUUCUUGUCCUAUUUUCUUUUAUGAAUACAACAUCUUACUGGUAUGAAUAAGCAUUCAUAAAAAGCUCUAUGUAUGCUUCUACUUCAAAUGAUUAGCUGGCAGAUCUGAAAACUAGUUUGUGAUUUUCAUGGUUGUCAUAUGUAGCUGGUAGUAUUGAAAAUUGGAUUGUGAUUUGCAUGGUUGUCAUAUGUACAUAUUCCAAUAUUGGAUGCUUAGAUGAUUGCAUGUUUUGCAUUCUAUUGCAGAGAUAUUAUUCUAUUGUUAUUUUUUUUCUUUCCAAGCUGUGAUGUAUCUCCUUUCUCCUUGUAUGCAAAAAGUAUUUGCUUAGGAUAUAGUGCUAUGUUAUUGCUUCAGUUCCUUCAACUUUCCAUCUAGUGUUUUUGAACUUUUGAUACCUGAUUUUCCUAUUCUCCCUCCAGUUUUCAUUCUUAUGGUCUUUGACCUACACAUAAUGUUUGUCUUUAUGAUAUCGACCACCCUUUGGUUUCCUUCUCCUUUGUGAUCUGACUAGAUAGAACAAUCAUGAAAAUGCAGUUUUCCUGCUGUGAGAGAAAAAAAUUUAUAUGAUCAGGCGAUGAUUUUGUGCUUAAUGCAAUUAUUUUUCUAAGAAUACAAAAAUCCAUGCCCAUGUCCGCAAUCUUUGUUACCAACUAUAUGUUUGCAUAUCAUAUAUUCAAGAUGGUUGGUCCUAUGAUCUAUUUUGUGCUUGGUUAUGUCAGAAAGGUUAUGCAUGACAUUUCUCAUUGAAUGUUCCACUUGAGUUAUAACCACAUUUCUCAUUCUAGAGAUCACGUGGAUAGUUGAUGAGUUGAUCUAGGUUACAUUCUUGCAUCUUCAUUUAUGAAGUUAUGGGAAUGAAGAACGAAAAUGUAGCUCUGCAAAUUUAGAAAAAUUCCUGAUUACUAUUGAAAAAUUUGUAGUAAACUAGUAAUGAACAAAAUUUGUACAAGAAGAUUUGGAAACUGUCUCUUUGUGUGAUUAAAGUUUUGGUAAAUAAUCGAAUUGACAUGGAAAUGAAGAAGGAAAAUGUAGCUGCAAAUUUAGAAAAAUUACUGAUUACUAUUGAAAAAUUUGUGGUAAUGAAAAAAUUUGUACAAAAAGAUUUGGAAACUCUCUUUGUGUGAUCAAAGUUUUGGUAAAUAAUUGAAUUGACAUGGAAAGUUCAACUGUCUUGAUCCAUUGCAUGUUUUGUAAUUAAACUUCCUAGUUGUUAUGUUCAAACAUAGUGCAGGGUUGGAUAGAAAAUUGACAUCUACAAAUGGUUAGAUAUAUCAAUGAUAUUCGGCAUAAAAUAUAAAAGUUUCGCAAAUGAACAGCUCAUGUUCUGGAAUCUGGAUUGCUUUGGAAUUUUGGCUGCUCGUGCAACAUUUGAAAAUCAGAGUUGCUCAUUUGUAAUAUUAUGGUUUAAUGCUUGAUUAUUGGCAACAUGAAUUUUCUAAAUAAUUUGUUUCACAACAAUUGGUGAUAUCACUAUGAGCAUGGAACUUAAGUUUUGAUGCUUCGCAUCUUUCUCAGAGUUGCUCAUUUGUAAUAUUAUGGUUUAAUGCUUGGUCGUUGGCAACAUCAAUUUUCUAAAUAAUUUGUUUCACAAUGAUUGUUGAUAUCACUAUGCACAUGGAACUUAAGUUUCGAUGUUUUGCAUCUUUCGUGUUUUUAAGUCUUGCAGGGAUUUCUUUUGUUUUGUCUGAGGAAAUUGAUUGCCUUCACAAGGGUAUUUGCUUUAUCUUUUCCUUUUGCUGAUUUUGAAUUAGAAUUACACUUGAACUUAAUGAGAAAAGGGAUUCUACCCUGAUUCCUGGAAAUAUUAUUUGGUAGUUGCGUUAUAAGAGUUUUGAUUUCUUGUGAAUGUAUAAUGAAACCGAGGAAAUAGUAGAUUGGAGACACUGACCGAAGGAAACCCUCUGACUGAUUGCAAUCAGGAGCAAAGGGCUAGCACGACUAAUGAUUCAAAGAAUCCCCAAGCACAAAUGUUCACCUAUUUCAGACCAAUAAAUCCUGUCUCUGUUGCUUGCAACUGGAGUUCUUUCAUCAAAUGAUGCAUAUGGGCUGCCCGGUGGCCCGAUUGAGCCUGGUCAGUAAGAGAUUCUAAAAGAGACUACUGUAUGCAUUAGGAGGGGAGAUAGGAAGAUGGAGGGUAUUGGGCGUACAAAGAGAUGUGGCACUAGUGGGCCUGUUGCUUGGUUCACUUUAUCUGGCUUAGAUGUGGACUGAGAAUGGAGGUUGAGACAUGAAUGAUGGCGCCCGGCUGGGGGUUGGCCCUGAGAUGGAGGUUUUGGUGGUAGUAUAUAAGAGAGAGAGAGAGAGAGAGAGAGAGAGAGAGAGAGA